GAUGGACAUUUAAAUUUUAAACAGGAUAAAUGUCUUAAGGUAGCUCACAACACUAAAGCUUAAACUCUUUAUGACACUACAUCACAAGAUGGCGAUUUAAAUCGUAUCUCAAUGGUUAAAGCAUUGGGCUGGUGAACCGCAGAUCUCGAGUUCAAAUCGGCCAGAGGGUUUUAUUCAAAUAUUUUAAAACAAUUUUUUGAAAAUCAUGUUUUAUCCAACUUUGCAUAUAUUCUGUCUUUUUGGCAUAUACGUGUAUACAUAUUAUGUAUCAUCACAUCUUUUAUGAUUUAUUCAAUUCGUACUGAUUUAAGAAACUAUUUCAGGGUGUAGUGAGCCACCUUAAUCAGCUACAUCCUCGGAUACUUUUUAUUUUCAGUAUAAUCUCCCAAUGGACAUUGACAAAACUGUUUGAAUAUUGACAACGAUUCAUUGCGGUAAACAGAAUUUAAAUAUCCUAACUCACCUGGGCAGAAAGAUCUAAUCACAAUGAUUAAACAAAGACAGUUUAGAUGACUUGGUCAUGUCAUCAGAAAAGGAAACGAAUCCAUCACAAAAACAGCACUUAAAUGGACUCCAGCAGAAGGAAAGAGAAGCAGAGGAAGACCUAGAGAGAGAUGGAGAAGGACUAUAGAAAGUGACAUAAAGAAGAUGUGAAAAACCUGGAAGGAAGUAGAAAAGAUGGCUAUGGAUAGAAACAAAUGGAGGGAUCUGGUAUCAGCCUUAUGUGCCACCGGGCACGAAGAGGAUAGAAUGAGUUGAGUGGAAUAAAGAACCCCAAAGCCUGGAUUUCUUGAAAAGAACUUAAGUGAAAACUUGCACUUAAGUCUGAGAUUUGACUGAUCAAACAUAAAAAAACUGAAGCUGUAACUGACGCUAAGUUUUCAACUAUCCAAUUAUGUAUCAAUUAACACCCGUCGGUAUAAUUAACAUAAUCCCCAAGAUCUGAAGAACAAUUUAUCAACAUGGAUGAGGGAAUACUGUUUCCGAGCAUACUUACAAAGGGCGCUUCGUAUAAAUCGCCAUUGUGUUGUACACUCGGACAUGGGAACGAUGAUUGCCGAACAUAAUCGGCUUACCGAGCCCGAGGUCAUAUACAAAAAUGGAUACUGACGUAACUACACGUUUCGUUUGUUUUAAAUAUUACAUCGUUUCAUGAAUGACAAGAACUACGAUUAUGAGCAGGACUUACUGACAGGAUGACAAUGAUUCAUGAAUCGACAUUUUCUGCUGAUUUGACGGUUUUAUUGCUUCGGAUUCACCCUGAUUCUAUGAAGUUAGAUAUAUUCAAUCACAAAUCUGUUAAAUAUUUGUUCUUUUAUUUUUCAAUUCACUUUCCAUCAGUUAGAAUUUGCAUUGCUUUCAAUUUUAGAUUUUUUUGAAAAAUCCAAGCCAGAUAUUUUUGUGCACACACACGUAUAUGAUUAGAUUUACGUUACACCCGCAAGCUUAUCUCAUUUUACGUGUUCGAGUUUUAUUUCAUGGGACUCUUUCCAAAUACUCAAAGACGGAAACGCAGUCAAUGAAAUCGUUCAUAUAAAAAACCACGUACCUGUAUAAAUGGUGUCACGUUUAAUUCACUUUUACCUUACAGACAAUUAGGUCCACAUCAUAUUCGCACAAAACUUUACUCUGAGAGUUUUAGAUACAUUAUUUCAAGAAGCCACAUCUACUAUCUAUACUUGGAUUUUUCAACACCUGAAUAACUCUAUGAUUAUGGAUGUUGCCAAUCACAGGCUCUUUAAAGGCCAGCAGUUGGGUAUAAAAGCAGCCAAUCGGUGAAAAUGGUGGAAUAUAUGAAUUUUCUGGUCACAUUCAGAUUGCAGCACUUAUUUUGCAAAAAUAAAGAUUAAGCUGUUGUACUGAAAUUUUAAAAUGGGUAUGCUUGUUCCCCUCAUAACUGUGCAUAUAUUGGCUAUAUCUAUUUUAGAUAUAAAUUCUCAUGGAGUUUUAAUUUUGGCCUCAAAAAUCUGAAGCAGGGCUAAAUUUGUAUUUCAAACUAGAGAUUGGCAGUUUGUGGGUGUGAUUAUCUUUUGUUAUUGUUUACACCGGAUGUUGACUCACAUAUUGCACGAGCAUGCUUGUCUAGUUCUAGAUAAGAGGGAUUGCACCAAAGGAAAC